rnacentral:lncRNA from 1 species
GUGUCGGUGGUGACGAGUGAAUGAGCGGUGUCGGUGGUGACGAGUGAAUGAGCGGUGUCGGUGGUGACGAGCAGAAGGAGAGAUGGUGGUGGUGGUGGUGACGAGCGGAAGGAGAGAUGGUGGUGGUGGUGAGGAGGUCAAACAUGAUGGAUUGGACGAGAAGAGGCGUCAGAGAGAGAGAGAGAUUUGUGUGUUAGGUUAAGAAAGUAGAAGAUAAUCAAACGAUGGAUUUGUAUGAUGUGGAUUGUUAUUACUGAUGUGGAUUUAGUGUUUAAAAAUAGUUUUAGUUAAAAAAACUAAUCAAAGGUCUUUAUUGUCAUUUACUAGAGAUAUCCAAACAUUCUAGUAGUUUUAAAAAGAUGUAUAACAGUCUAGUAAUAAACCAACUUUUCUAUAAUAUUCUAGUAAUUUUUUCAAUAUAAAUCUAUUUGGUGUAAAAAAAACGACUUUUAUCAUUUUUCCAGAAUAAA